rnacentral:rRNA from 1 species
CCUAGGGGAGGCAGCAGUGAGGAAUAUUGGUCAAUGGGCGAGAGCCUGAACCAGCCAAGUCGCGUGAGGGAAGACGGUCCUAUGGAUUGUAAACCUCUUUUGCCGGGGAGCAAAAAGCGGUACGUGUACCGCAUCGAGUGUACCCGGAGAAAAAGCAUCGGCUAACUCCGUGCCAGCAGCCGCGGUAAUACGGAGGAUGCGAGCGUUAUCCGGAUUUAUUGGGUUUAAGGGGUGCGUAGGCGGACGCUUAAGUCAGCGGUAAAAUUGCGGGGCUCAACCUCGUCGAGCCGUUGAAACUGGGUGGCGUGAGGGGGCGGGAAGUACGCGGAAGGCGUGGUGUAGCGGUGAAAUGCAUAGAUAUCACGCAGAACUCCGAUUGCGAAGGCAGCGUACCGGCGCCCAACUGACGCUGAAGCACGAAGGCGUGGGUAUCGAACAGGAUUAGAUACCCGAGUAGUC